AUUGCUUCUUGGCCUUUUAGCUAAGACCAAGUGUAGUAUCUGCUCUUAUCAGUUCUAAGAAAUAAAAAAAAAUUGGUUCAUUCAUUAUCAAAAAGUAAUCUUUAAACCUGGAAACUAU
rnacentral:snRNA from 2 species